GAUGAACGCUAGCGGGAGGCUUAACACAUGCAAGUCGAGGGGCAUCACGAGGUAGCAAUACCUUGGUGGCGACCGGCGCACGGGUGAGUAACACGUAUGCAACCUUCCCUGUACAGGGGGAUAACCCGGAGAAAUUCGGACUAAUACCCCAUGAUGAUAUUAAUGGGCAUCCAAUAAUAUUUAAAGCUCCGGCGGUACGGGAUGGGCAUGCGCGACAUUAGCUAGUUGGUAGGGUAACGGCCUACCAAGGCCACGAUGUUUAGGGGACCUGAGAGGGUUGUCCCCCACACUGGUACUGAGACACGGACCAGACUCCUACGGGAGGCAGCAGUGAGGAAUAUUGGUCAAUGGGCGCAAGCCUGAACCAGCCAUCCCGCGUGAAGGAAGAAUGCGCUACGCGUUGUAAACUUCUUUUCCAGGGGGAGAAUUUUCCUGUCGAGACAGGGAUUGACGGUACCCUGGGAAUAAGCAUCGGCUAACUCCGUG
rnacentral:rRNA from 1 species